AAUCAACGCUGGCGGCGUGCCUCAGACAUGCAAGUCGAACGAGAAAGUCCCCUUCGGGGGAUAAGUAAAGUGGCGCACGGGUGAGUAACACGUAGGUAAUCUACCUUCGGGUGGGGAAUAACCCAGGGAAACUUGGGCUAACACCGCAUAAUGCAGCGGCACCACAUGGUGACAGUUGUUAAAGCGGGGGAUUUUCGGACCUCGCGCCUGAAGAGGAGCCUGCGGCGGAUUAGCUAGUUGGAAGGUAACGGCUUACCAAGGCAACGAUCCGUAGCCGGCCUGAGAGGGCGGUCGGCCACACUGACACUGACAUACGGGUCAGACUCC
rnacentral:rRNA from 1 species